UACGAAGGGGGCUAGCGUUGUUCGGAAUCACUGGGCGUAAAGGGCGUGUAGGCGGACUGUUAAGUCUGGCGUGAAAGCUCCCGGCUAAACCGGGAGAGGUCGUUGGAUACUGGCAGACUAGAGGGUGGUAGAGGCGUGUGGAAUUCCGGGUGUAGUGGUGAAAUGCGUAGAGAUCCGGAGGAACACCAGUGGCGAAGGCGACACGCUGGGCCAUACCUGACGCUAAAGCGCGACAGCAUGGGGAGCAAACGGG
rnacentral:rRNA from 1 species